GGCUGCUCCGGCCGCUUCCCCGCGGCGGGGGCGGUGGAGGCCGCGCGCCCUGGUCCUGCUGGCCUCUGCUGACGUGCUGCUGCGGCUGAGGGGAAAGUGCCACCUAACGGGUCUAUCGUCUCACGUCCGAGGUGUGCCACCACAAGUGUUCAGCCGCCGAAGCGAGACAGCAGCUCAGAAAAGCACUCAUCAUUGAAUUCGGUUCUGCCCGACUUGCAUUAGGAGUUGAGAUCACUCCAGAGACCUUGCUUGUAAUGGAGUUCCCUUAAUGAGACUAAAUGCUUCCACACUGCAGGAAGGUGGACCUGCUUGGAAGGUCUGCCACCUGAAGUCUCCUUUCACGGGAUGCACAAAAUUCUUGAGAAAGAAACAGGGGCUCUGGAGUGUGAAGAAAAUAAUGGCCUCUGGAGUCCACUGCAUGAGAACUGUAUGGAGAUGAAUGCUGUAGGAUGCCCAGGGACUUUGACCACUAAUGCCUAACACAGCUGGCUGCUGCAGGAAGUGGUACCGCAGGAAUCAACAUGAUUUCCUUCCGAGGCAUGCCAGACCACCAGCAGAGCCCUUCCUUCAGAGGACACAGGUUGAGAGCUGGAAAUGUGACAUGAGGGAAUGAUUGUGCCAGAUAAUCAAGUAGGGUAAAACAUCUAAUUUCUUGGUUCAGUAAUAAACUCCAGAGUUCAGAUCCCAUGUUGGUUGCCAUUUACACCUGGCAUCUGGACAUCCAGUACAUACAGGCUGAUAACUAGGUCCUUAGCCAAGCUGGAAGAAUAACUGAUGAGAUCAGGCUGCAGUAUUUCAUUUAGCAAUGUUUGUCAGUCUUUCUGCUGCUCAGCUGCUGAUGUUCACAGUUUUAAAAAAUGUGUAUUUUUUUAAACUAGGCUUCCUCCUUCCACACUCUUGCCAAACUUAGUCAAAAUUAUCCAGCAGAUUAAAAAGUGGCUUGAGAGGACAAACAGACAACAUGAUUACACAUGCCUCAGUCCCUUAGAAAACUAUUAGCAGGAACUUAGUAAUCUCCAACACUGUUGAUUUUCACUCUGCUCUCUGUAAUUGUGCAACACAGGAAAGGCAAAAAAAUUGCUUCAUACAGACCUAACAUUUAUUUAUGUGAAAGGUUUUGCAAUUAUACUUUAUUGUUUCUCAUUGCGGACUUGAGGCUUUUUUUAAAUUUUUGUGGUAUUAUAAGAAUGUCAAUUAUUUCCUCUCCCCAAUGCUCGAGAGUGGAGAUAAAAUACAAGGAUAUAGUUCUCAUAUCUAAGAGAGGUUUUGAGAAUGUUUAGAUGCAAACAUUAAAAUGCACAGAGAGCCAGUGUUUGGAUGACUUAAACGUUUGUUCCAUUCACUGCCCAUUCAAUUCCUUUAUAAUCAUUAACUGUAAAGGCUGUCUUAUACAGUAUCAGAGAAGAUAAGUCAGGGCAAGGGCUGCAAUUGUAGCCACAGAGAUAUGAAUGUCUGCUUCUGACCUGGGAAAAGAGAGCUCCUCCAAAUAUGUUCGUGACAUCAUGAAUUCUACAGUACGUGUGUUCCACUGUUCCUGGUGGAUGGUGUGAAAGAAUCUGUGGCAAUGCAUAGUCAGCUUACAUGUAGACACACCUUGCACAUACAGCACACCUCAACACAACUCUUACAUGCUACUGUCCAUCAAUGAGGAAUGUUGGAAAGACUGGGCAAUAUUUGAAAAGUAUAAAUUAAAAGGAUUUUCUGUACAAACACCGACUCUGGUUCUGAAGUGUUGUCACGAAAGUUACAGGAAUCUAUCAGCAAAAUUUGAUUAAAAUGUAACAGUCUUGUCUCAUUCAGCCACAUCUCUUCUAUACAUCUGGUUUUAUUCUACAUUCAAGGAGAAAAUACAGUUGUUUCAAAAUAGGAGAUUUAGAAAAGUCAGAGUAAUUAAUUAAUCAAUAUAAAACCCAUAAUAUUUUCUUAAUUUUUAUUUCACAGAAUCACAGUAGAGCUGAGGUUGAAACAGAUCUCUGUGUGUCUGUUGCCUCCAUGCCUCCAUGCUCAAAGUGGGGGCAAACAGAACUGCUUUCUCAGGGUCUCAUUCAGUUGGGUUUUCAGUACCUUCAAGGAUAGAGGCUCCACAAAACAUUUGCAUGCAGUAAAGACACACCACUGUAGUCCAAGAAGGUAUCCUGACAGCCUCUAUAUUUUCCUCUAUUUGCAGUUAAUGUGCAUGGCUUACAGCACCUCAGGGUGUUGGAAUUAUAGACCAUCCUGAGUUGGAAAGGACCCACAAGGAUCAUUCAGUCCAACUCCUGGUCAUACCGAGAGUCACACCAUGUGCCUGAGAGCACUGUCCAAAUGCUUCAUGAGCUCUGUCAGGCUGGUGCUGUGACCACUUCCCUGAGGAGCCUUGUCCAAUGCCCAACCACCCUCCGGGUGAAGAACCUUUUCCUGACAUCCAACCUAAACCUCCCCUGACACAACUUCAGGCCAUUCCCUUGGGUCCUGUCACUGAUCCUGUCACAGUGAGGAAAUCAAUGCCUCUCCCUCAUAUUCCCCUUGUGAGGAAGUCGUAACUGCUAGAGGUGUCUCCUCAGUCUCCUUCAGACUUGAAAGAACAAGUGACCGCAGCCACUCCUUGUAUGGCUUCAAUAUAUUCCAGUCUAGUGGACCCCUUUUGCUGAAAGCCUUUUGUGGUCCUGUGUGUCCCCUAGCAAGUGACGGGAGGACAUCUUUUGCCAUCUCAAGUUCAAGAGGUAUCAGGCUGUUCUUAUUCCAAGAAAUAAAAUUAAAAAAAAAAAAAUUGUGUUACCCUUAAUGAGUAAAAAACAUUUACAGUCACAUUUGGUAUAAGAACUCUAGACUUAGAGAAAUGCUUAAAAAUAGUAAUUUAGCACUGAAGCAGAAAUAGUUUUUAUUUAUACAUGCCACUUUUCACUUUUGUGUGUAUCUUUUUAAGAAUAAAUUUUUUUUAAAAUGUAGAUUUUUCAGCAGUGGUCAGCAUAGACCUUACUAUGUCAUGUCUUCUGUUGUAAGCAGAAACACAUGAAGGUUGAAAUAAGUCCCCACUCUUUUCAGUAGUAGAGGUCUUCACUGCACAUAAAACAGAAUUAAUGACAGUUUGGAAGUACUGGGGACAAUAGAUAGGCUAAGUAGGCUCUGUCUAGUCCUAUAUAUGUCUUUCCAUGUUAACAGGAUGUGAAACAAGAUUAAGUUGGAAGUCAAAUGCUCAUUCUACAAUGUUCUUAGAAUAUUUUAAAAACCCAGCAGUUUCCAAGAAAAUGCAUUGAUAGAUUACCAUGUCAGUUUUGGUCAGUUAGAAAAUAUGUUACUGCUAACUAUAUUUGGGUUGGUUUUUUAUACCUUUAGGGGAGAAAGACCUCAGUAUGAAGAAAAACAAGAACUUCUCAUACAAAUGUUAAUAUAUAUUCUGUACUUUAGAAUAGAAACCCUGUACUCUGAACUAGAGCAAGUUUUUUUGAGCUGACAUCUCCAUCCUACCUCACACAAUCUAUUUUAAUAUUUUCAAUUGCUUUCACUGAAAACGUUUAGAAAAUGCUUUCUUCGCACUAUUACUAUUUGCAAUUGAUCUUUUCCGCAGUGUAAAUCUGUCUAUACCAUGCAGUCCAAAUUAUACAUAUCUGAUCUUUUUGUGUAGUACAGUCUAUUGGCUAUGUUCCAGGUUUUUUCCAGCUUGAGAGGUUUUGAAUUAGAUCUCCUGUAAAUUGUUGGCAAAUUAAAUGGCUGAUAAAAUAGCUAGUAUUUACUGUAUGUUCAAAAUUAUUCAUGCAGUGGCAUGUGGUACCAGGAAACUUUUCCUUCUUCUCUUUUCUGCAAAUAUUUACUUUUUGCAGAUGAAUUUCUAAAGCCAAAAAAACACAAACCAGUUGUAGGUAGCUGUUUUUCUUGCUACUUACAUGCUAAUAGUUAUACAUAAAAUAUUUUUUUAGUAACUUCAUUGAUGUUUUUCUCUCUAUCACUGUUUUCUAGAGGUUGUUGCCUUUCAAGAUAAUUUAAUAUGACAUAUUAAUUUGAAUUUGAAGAGAAUUAUGAAAGCCUGUCCUUAAUGGACUGAACCUAAUGUUGCAACUGUAGGCAUAGAGUUAUUAAAAGGGGUCCAUGAUUGAUGAAAAUCAUUAACUCUAAUGGUGGAGCUUGGAGAAUAAAAGCAAGCAAGCAAGCAAAGAAAGAAAGAGAGAAAGAAAGUUUGAGAUUGAGCAAGGGAAAGGGAGAAAUAGGUGCCAGGAAGUAGGGGUGGGACAGGCAAUGUUGGAAACAGAGAAUGGAGAAUGCUUCCCAGUGGCCAGCCUAGAAGAGAAGUGUGCAGAGCUGCCCAGAUGAGGGUCCUCUUCUGUUUCACUUCUAACAUGGUAACUGGAUGGUUUUCAUCAGGGUCUGCACAAAAUUAUCUUUGGGUUUUUCUGCUAUGGGUGCUGUUAUUAGUGAUGGGACCAAUAAAACAAUAAAGUUUAAAAGAAACCGUAAAGGUUAAGAUGGAAGGUCAGCUGCCAUGUAGUUGCAUCCUCAGUAUUUCUAUGGCACCCAGAUUGUAUAAAUUACAAUUAGCUUUUGUGUGUGUGUAUGUGGAUGCUGAUAGUUUAUGUUAUUUAGCUCCUAAAGAAUAGUGGUGAUGUAGCACAUUAUGAUGUUCUUACAGUUGCUCCUUUAAUGUAAGAUAUUGUUCUGUGUUACAGCUAUAGUAAUGGCUUACUUAAACCUAGAAUUUUACAUCCUGGCCCAAGUACAUGUGCAGCCUGCAAGCAUGGUUCAUGUGAAAUGCAAUCUAUGUUUUACAGCCUGCUCCUUACUAAAAAAUGCAGCUGCAGCAGCAGGAUCAAAUCUUGACUCAGUAUAGCAUCUGAACAAUUGUAUUAAAACAAAUUAAAAUACUUUUGCCACAUAA